UAAAGCUAGGGUGACCUAUUUCGUUCCG
rnacentral:sRNA from 1 species